UAUGAGAAAACUGCUUGAUUUUCUUGGCAAGGUACAAUAAAUUGUGUCAAGUUCAGAAACUUUGGAAUCGCUUUGAUUUGCUUCAGUGAGGCUCCUGUGAUCACUGGUGGGUACUGAUAUACUUUCUGUUUUGCUUAACUUUUCAAUACAGGAUACAUGAUGCCUUAUUUUUCCUUUUCCUCUUUCAUUCCUAAAAGGAGAGUGUGAAUGGCAUUUGACAUCAACCACUUCAUCAUGUGUAGGCACAGGACUAUCAUUUCUCUCUUGGUUUUCUGAGUGGCUUACAAUAAACUGAUUCUUUUGGUUCUUCCCAGCAUUGUCUUUUUCUUCUCUUUCUCCUAGCGAUGGAUCUUUGUCUGAAGGACUUCUCCUGGAGAACACUGUAGUAGAUGGAACCACAGGAGCAUCAAGGGAAGAAUUCUUUGAUGGUGAGGAAUCUGGUAGUGCAGCUGAUGACAGAUCUAAAGAAUCACACGAGGUCUUGUGGCCAGGAGUCAACUUGCAUUUUGAGUAUUGUGCAUUUUGAGUAUCAGUCGGUGCAGAGCUCCAGUGGUUAUUUGUAAUAAUUCUUGAAAUAUCUUCAUUAUUUACAGUUAAUUCCUGGUGACAACCUUGGUCUGUCCUGGGGAAAGAUGGUGGUGUUCUGUGUUCCUGAAUGAAAGGAAGGGAAGCUGUUGAGCCAAGUUUUCUGUUUUCAGUAAACCUCUUAUCUUGUUUAAUGUCAUUGGAUUUAUCUGUGUGCGGUAUAUACAUUUUGGAGGUAUCUUUCCUGGAAAAGACUCUGGGUGACUUUUUUGAACUUAUUAUGGUAGAUGCAUUAAAACCAAACCCGUUGCUCUUGGCUGAGUCCUGGGAUAAGGGAUUUUGAAAAUCAGGUAAAGAGUUUGAGAUCCCUGUCUGUGAAACAGGUUGGGGUAUUUCACCUGCCUUGUUUGUCUGGUCCAUCUUGCUUAGCUGUUUGUCUUCUGAAAUAGAUUCAUUUAAGUCUUUCUCAUUAUUCACUUCUGUGACCAAGAUAUUGGGCUGGCUUUUGGCAAGAGGCAGAGAGUCAACUGAAUUGCUGUUGGUCACAGUGACUUCUGUAUGGCUUCUCACUGGAUGAGAGGCAGGCUUAUUUGGAAAAAUUUUCUGCAAAGUGACUGUGGGAUUCUGCAAGUUGGGACUCUGAGGAUUCCUUCUGUCAUCAGAAAUCUGGGAAAAGGAAGUUUUGAAUGAGGAUGCUAGAGUCUGAGCAAUUCCAAAUGAGCAAGCUUCUUUGUUUAUAUGUACUUCUACAGGAGAACUGUCCUGUUGACUUACCAACUCACUAGAUUUGACGUGAUAGCUUGAACCAGUCAUGGAGCAAACAUUUGGUGUGCCAAAAUGAGGAGUCAACUGGGUCUCCUUACCAUGUGAUACCACCAUGCUAUCCAGUGUGGAUCUCUGAAAAUCAAACUGCCAGGGAUGUGGCUCUUCUUGGCCUCUGGAAACAUCUGUUCCAUAACCAGAAGAAAAUGAUUCCCAGUGUUCAGAAGAAACAUUAUGGCCAUGAAUGGCUGAUACACUAUUUGCUUCCAUGGAAAUCAUUUCAAAGUCUCUGUCAGAAGAAUUGAAUGAUUUCCUGCUUCGAUGAAAGUCAGACCAGAAAGAAUGUCCUUUCUCUCGGCCCCAAAAAGGACCUUGUCCAAAUCUCCUCUGUUCUCCGCUUCGUCCAAAGGUUGCUACAAUAUUUCCAGCUGUGUAUACCUCCUGGGAUCAUAAUAGAAAUGAACCUCUGCUGGAGUGCAGUGGCAUGAUCUCGGCUCAUUGCAAUCUCCGCCUCCCAGGUUCAAGCACUUCUCCUGCCUCAGCCUCCCAAGUAGCUGAGAUUACAGAACACUGAGUGUGACAGUCAAGCCCUUGAUGGCUUCAGCAAGUAGAAACCUGACUGUUGCCUGCAGAGGAUGACUAUGUGUCCCUGGGCCAUUAGUCAGUCCCUCCCAGGGUGCUCGUAGACAAAAACAGCCUCGGGUGAAAGCUGGAAGUGAAAAACCCUCCAUUCACCCAAGAGGGGAGGACAGUGGUCUGCUAAAUCCAGCAGCCUCAUCACACAACCCACCAGCUGCUUGCUGCCUCUUGUUUCUCAGCGACAGUGACCUCCAACAGCUUUUAUUUAGUGCUGCAAUACACCGUGUGGUUUGACGGCACGCGGAACAUAUCACGUGCCAAGCCAACACCUUAAGAGGGUGGGAAGCUUUGAAACCAGGAAGACAUGCCGAAAAUAUUUAGCAGUCAGCUCAAUUGCACUUAAGCAUAGCCUUGCUUGUUUUUCACAAAGUAAUCCAACAACGUAAUGAGUCAAGUGAACUGAUUUGCACAGUUCUAAACUGGGAACCAUCUGGAACUAAGUUUCCACUGCUCCUAAAGCUUCUCCUCCCUCACCUUAUACAUUCUGAGCAAACACAUGGGAACAGCCUUCAGUAUUUCUAGUAACAGUAAUUACAUUUCCUCCCUCUGUUUUAGAAUUCUAUUUUUCUCUAGUCUCUUUGUUCAUCUCACAUUUUCUCUCAUCUAGUCGUUAUACCCCAACUCUCCUUAUGACCAGGACGUGACCAGGACACAUACUCUGCAAAGAAGGAGUAGUUUUUAUUUAAAUAUAUCUUCCUGGACAGGGCAUAGGCCAGACUCUUGGAGCAGUGGAAAAACUGGCAAUCAUUAUUUCCCAAUAUUUAACCCAUCACUCACCAAAUGCACCACCAAUGCACUCUGCAGCUCGUUAGAAGUUGGAUUUCAGGUGAGCCACAUUUCAUGGUUUCCUAAGAACUUUGUCACUAUGCAAGUUAAGUCCCAUUUCCUUUGUUCUUAAUACCAAUUGAAUUGAAAUUCUAAGAACAAACAUUAAACAUUUUGAACAC